ACAUGUAGCACACGUGGGAGAUAUGGGUGAUUAACAGAAACGUUAGUUGGCAAAUUCAAAGAGAAGAGACCACUUUGAAGACCUUGGUGUAGACGGAAGAAUUGUAUAAAAUUUUAUCGUAGAACUAUGGUGUAAAAUGGAAUUAUCUGGUUCCGGUUAAGUCCAGUGGCGGGAUCUUGCGAACAUGCUGAACAGGUCACGCAGCGAGAUUUGUGGAUAAUGAGUCGGAAAGGCUGAAAAUAUGGUAUUGGCCUAUAACAAGAUACUAUCGCAGCAUUCGCCUGGAGGUUUCGAACGGAAGAGAUGACCUCCAAGCAUGUAAUGUAGACAGCCGACAAGCGGUGGUCUUCCUGCUAACAACUCACUUUAUGAAAUGUUGCACAGGCCCUUAUGUGGAAGUGACUCAAUAUUGGGUCUUGCAAACAUCUUAGGGUCCAUAAAGAGCAGGGAUUUUCCUGACUAGCUGAACGACUACCAGUUUCGCAAGAAAGACUAUUCAAUGGAGUUAUUUUAAUCAUAAAACACCAUCCUGUGUCAUGAAGGCGAAACUUCGAGGCUAUAUUCGACAAAUUUAUCGUAGAAAGAAUCCACUCUUAAUAACAAGAUCUUCCGCAAAAUAAUGAUGAUGAUAAUCUACAGCAAACCUAAGAAAUUCUGACUGGAGCAGUAUUAAAUCCAAUGACCAUCUGCACACGAGCCCAAUAUACCAGCCCACCAACUAGAAUACAUCUUAUUGGUGUUCCUCCCCGGGCCAGCGAAACAGUGGAUCUACCCCGCUCAGCUCACCUUGUCACCCCUAACUGAGUCCCCA